rnacentral:rRNA from 1 species
AUUGAACGCUGGCGGCAGGCCUAACACAUGCAAGUCGAACGAGAGGCGGACGGGUGAGUAAUGUCUGGGAAACUGCGCGAGGGAGGAGGAUAACUACUGGAAACGGUAGCUAAUACCGCCUACCAUCGGAUGUGCCCGAAUGGGCUUAGCUUGGAGGUGGGGCAACGGCUCACCAAGGCGACGAUCCGUAGCUGGUCUGAGAGGAUGAACAGCCACACUGGAACUGAGACACGGUCCAGACUCCUACGGGAGGCAGCAGUGGGGAAUAUUGCACAAUGGGCGCAAGCCUGAUGCAGCCAUGCCGCGUGUGUGAAGAAGGCCUUCGGGUUGUAAAGCACUUUCAGCGGGGAGGCGUUACCCGCAGAAGAAGCACCGGCUAACUCCGUGCCAGCAGCCGCGGUAAUAC